UAUGAUCCAAGUGAAUCCCCUCCUUUGGAAUAAACAAGCACAAGGCAAAAGCAAUCAAACAAGUCUCAUAAGAGAUCCUCAAUAAAAGGAAACAGAAUGCCAAUACAUGGACUUACACCCGACUCCUAACAACAAAAAGGAAACAGAAUGCCAAUACAUGGACUUAUAUCCGACUCCCAACCAUAAAAAGGAAAUAGAAUGCCAAUACAUGGACUUACACCCGACUCCUAACAAGAAAAAGGAAACAGAAUGCCAAUACAUGGACUUAUAUCCGAC
rnacentral:lncRNA from 1 species